CGUGGAGAACCUGCCGUAUACUGGGGGAGUAACACUUAGAAAUAGGUGCUAAUACCGCAUAAGCGCACAGCUUCGCAUGAAGCAGUGUGGAAAACAAAAAAGCUAAAGCUUUUGGUGGUAUACGAUGGAUCCGCGUCUGAUUAGCUUGUUGGCGGGGUAAAGGCCCACCAAGGCGACGAUCAGUAGCCGGCCUGAGAGGGUGAACGGCCACAUUGGGACUGAGACACGGCCCAAACUCCUACGGAAGGCAGCAG
rnacentral:rRNA from 1 species